rnacentral:rRNA from 1 species
UACGUAGGGGGGCAAGCGUUGUCCGGAUUUAUUGGGCGUAAAGAGCUCGUAGGCGGUGUGUCGCGUCGGCCGUGAAAACCUGCAGCUUAACUGUGGGCUUGCGGUCGAUACGGGCAUCACUGGAGUUCGGCAGGGGAGAAUGGAAUUCCUGGUGUAGCGGUGAAAUGCGCAGAUAUCAGGAAGAACACCCGUGGCGAAGGCGGUUCUCUGGGACGGUACUGACGCUGAGACGCGAAAGCGUGGGGAGCGAACAGG